rnacentral:lncRNA from 1 species
UUUAUUAAAAUUGAAAACAUAAGCGUUGAUUACUAUAAUUCUAGCUAUAGGUUGUGGGUAACCAUUACCACCCUAUUCAACAAACUUCUUAACUUAACCAAAAUUUACGAAUAGCAGCGGAAAGACUUUUUUUUCAAAAGUAGGCUCAGUUGUGGUCUUUAUCUUUAGCUUGUAGGUUAUACUUGGUGCCAAAAGCCUAAUUCAGGUUGGGAAGGGGGGGCACACGCUCCUCCCACAAGUCAAUAAACACACCACCAAUAAAUGAA